CACGAUCUAACGUACGCGCACGCACCGUAGGCACUUUGCGACGCGUCGGUAAAAAUAUGAAGUUCUAUAUAAUUACCGCGAACCACGUAACGAGGUAUUUUAAUAUCGCAUAUUUUAUUACACAACUGUAAUAACGAGUCAAGGUCGUCGGAUCCUGUAAAAAGGUCAUCUACGUAAAAAUUAUCCUUAAUAGUCCUGGCUACUAAAUCAUCAUCACAUUCUAAAGCCAAUUGUUGUAAGCAACGCAUACUUAGAAAAGGAGCCGACGCAGUACCAUACGUAACUGUGUUCAACUUAUACAAUUGCAAAGGCAUAAAAAACGAUUUUUUGCCAUAGUGUACGAGUCCCCUAACAAUUCGGGUGACUCCUUUAAAGGAAUACGAACGAAAAAUCUACCAAACUCGUCACGUUUAGUAGUCUCUGUAAAUAACUUCUCACAAUAACGAUCAUCAUUCGACAUGAUAUUUGGUUUAAACGACUUAUUAAUAUGAAGAGGGCCAGAGAUGAUCCAUCCUAAUUUGGAAUCGUACAAAUAUGGACCACUGCUAAUUUUAAUCUUAUUAUUAUUUAAAAGAUCCCAAAAUAUGUCCGCUCCUAACAAUAUAUCAAUGUCCGACGAAACGCUAAACGUAGGGUCCGCGAGCGAAACAUGUUUAGGAAUCUGUAUACAUUUACAGUGAACGUCUAACGAAGGUAACUUCGAUGUUAUACGAGGAAGAACCCAACAUUGAAUAUUAGUAUUAAAAUCAUUAACUUU